AAACAAAAAUCCCCAAUAAUGCCCUGUCAUUUCAUUACCAGAACAGCUCUUCACAAUACCUGCAUUCCCUCUAGUUUUUCAGGUCUACACGACCCUAUAUACGGAGGUCCCGCUCCCAAAAAUAAUGUAGUUUUAAUCUUUACAAGGCGCCAGUUGGAGUGAACAGAGUGUGCUUCCUGUAAGAAAGAAAGCGUCUUUCUAAGUAUGAGAAAUUCCACAGGCGAAGUUUGACAUGUGAAGGGAAGUAUGAGAGCUGUCUUUCUAUAUCUGCUAAAGGAAUAAUUGUUAUUUAUGUUAUUCAGCAAUGUGUAAAUUGAUUGGCGAGUUGCAUGUCCACAUAAGCGUCUUGUAUGCUAUUAUUAGUUUGUGAAAAGCAAGGCGGUGACCCCUGCUUCCUGUAAUCACAGCUGAUUUAUAGUAAAUUUUCUUUAUAUUUUUAGCUGUCUUUCUUCAUAACAUAAUUGUGCCAAAGACUAAAGCAACUGUCAUGUAAAUGGUGAAGGCAAGGCUGAUUUAUAGUAAGUUUUCUUUAUAUUUUUGGCGGUCUUCAUUAGGAAACUGCGACAAGGCUAAAGCAACUGUCAUGUAAUCGGUGAAGGCAAGGGAAUUGUAAACAUACGAUCUUGUGGUUUGGUGAAGGUGAAAGGAAUUUGUAGAAGAAAAUGGAGGAAGAAAAACAGGAUCCCCUGAUGACUUAUGGUAAAAGAAAAAUGUUUGAAAUAACAAGUUUCGAGGAAGAAAUCAGUCAGAGUGAGGAUGAGGACGAGGAGGAGGCGGAGGAGGAGGAGGAGGAUGAGGAUGAGAUUGAACAGAUUUGCAGUGAUAAAGAAGCAACGCAGACUAAUAAUCCAAAUGCAAUUGCUCGACGAUAUCAGUUGGAAGUACUUCAAAAAGCCUUGGAAAAGAAUACGCUUGUUUAUUUGGAAACAGGAUGUGGUAAGACAUUAAUUGCUGUGCUUCUUAUUAAGGAAAUUGGUAAUCAGAUGAGAGCACAAAAAGAAAAAGGAAUUAUAAUUUUUCUUGCACCCACUGUUCAGUUGGUUGUCCAGCAAUACGAAGUUAUUGAAAUAAAUAUUGAUAUGAAAGUAGCAAAGUACUAUGGGGCCAAAGGUGUUGAUGGCUGGAGUGCUCAAACCUGGAAUGAUGAAAUAAACAAACAUGAGGUUCUUGUAAUGACACCUCAGAUUCUUCUUGAUGUUUUGAGACAUGGUUUUUUGCAAUUAAAAAUGGUUAAGCUAAUUAUUUUUGAUGAGUGUCAUCAUACUCAGGGAAAUCAUCCCUAUGCAAAAAUUAUGAAAGAGUUUUAUCAAACAUCGCAACUUAGACCAAAAAUAUUUGGAAUGACGGCAUCACCAGUUAUAAAAAAAGGUGUCUCUUCAAGCCAUGAUUGCAUGGAUCAAAUAGCUCAACUAGAAGGCAUUUUGGAUUCACAGGUGUAUGCCCUGGAGGAUAGGAGGGAGCUAGAAAGAUUUGUUCCUACUCCAAGUCACAAGACAAUAUACUAUAGUCCAUCUUGUUUUAACUAUGAAACUGUGAAAGUGAAGCUAACGAAGCUUUGUGAGAAGUAUGAAAUUUUCCAAGAAAGUAAAGACAACACUUUGCUGUCUAAGUUCAAGGACUACGAAGAAUUUAUAGUUAACUCGAGGAAGGAAAUUCAGAGCAUACACAGAAACAUUGAAUACUGUCUAGAGAAUCUCGGCUUGUAUUGUGCUUAUAAGGCUGUUCAAGUGUUUAUGGAAAGAUGCAAGUCUGAGAUCAAUUUUGAAAUCGAGGUUGAAGAGUUGCAUGGCAUCAAAAGAACAAAAAAUAUUUUUUUACAGGAGACAUUGCAGACCUUAAAGCAGUUUCUUCCAAAUGGAAUGGAGAAUUUUUACAGCAUGCAAGGAGUUAGAGAGGGUCUUCUGACUCAUAAAGUAUAUAUGUUUAUCCGGUCCCUUCUAUUAAAUAGGAAAUUAAAGGAAAUGCAUUGUAUUGUAUUUGUUGAAAGAGUGAUAGCAGCAGUUGUUAUCUCGAGUUUGAUCAAUGAACUUGAUUGUCUAUCAAAUAUUAGUAGUGAAUAUCUGGCCAGUGGAAAUGGUUUGCUAGAAACGAGUCGAAACAAACAGCAAAGCACUCUUGAUCAAUUUUGUUUGGGCAAGGUGAAUGUGUUGGUCACCACUAAUGUUACAGAAGAGGGCAUUGACGUCCAAGGUUGUAGCUGCAUAAUCCGAUUUGAUUUGCCAAAUACAGUCCGCAGCUACAUACAGUCUCGUGGUCGAGCUCGCAAACCUGAGUCAGAAUAUGUUGUACUUAUUGAGAGGAACAAUGAAACACAAUUAAAUUUGUUGUUUGAUAUUAUAAGGAGUGAAGAAUCAAUGAGAGAUACAUCUUUGAAUAGAAACAAUAUUUGCUAUACCCCAAAGUUUGGUAUUGCUGAUGAUGAAAAGAUGAUUCCUUAUAAUGUUUCAUCAACUGGAGCUACGGUUAACUGUGACUCUAGUAUUGAUUUAAUCUACAAAUACUGUGCAAAGUUGCCUAGUGACAAGUAUUAUUCACCUCGACCAGAAUUUAUCUUUAGGGCUCUUGAGGGGAAGGAUAAUUUGCAUAUUUGUAUUUUGAGAUUGCCACCAAGUGCUCCAUUCCAUGAGGUUGUGAGUCAUCCAAGUGUCAAACAGAAAGCAAAGCAAUUUGCAUGCUUAGAGGCAUGCAAAAGGUUGCACGAAGUUGGUGCCCUUGAUGAGCAUCUUAUUCCUGUCAUUGAAACUGGACCUGAGGAGGAAAUUGUAAACUUAAAGAUCAAAUGUUCUAGAGGUGCAGGAACAACAAAGAGGAAGGAAUUACAUAUAACAUCAAAACCAGAAGCUUUAUCUGGAUAUUGGGGUGAAAAUCACAAUGGAGUAAAAUUGCAAGUCUACAAGAUAGUUUUCACUUCACAAGGCGAUGACAAGGGAGCAUAUUCAAACUUUGCUCUAUUGCUUGAAGCAGUAUUAGAUAACGAUGUUGCAAAUGCAGAGAUUGAUCUUCAUUUGACUGCAGGGAGAGUUGUCAGAUCGAGAUUCAUACCUUGUGGAACAUUGUAUUUGGACUCAGUUCAGAUCAUGGAUGCUAAGGCUUAUCAUGAAAUACUUUUCAAUGGAGUAUUCAACAAACUGGUCCUACGAACUAGGGAAACAAAUGAACUGGUUAUUGCAAAGAGGAAUAUAUUAGAAAAUAAGAUACUGGAAGGGAUAUGGGUAUCUUCAAACAUGUAUUUUAUUUUGCCAUUGGAACUUGAGAAAAGUUAUGUUUCUCAAAGUGGAGUCAACAUUGAUUGGAAUUGCAUCCGUCAAUGUGCUGAUGUUGCUAGAUCUGUCAGAGCUAAUACAAGAAGAUUGCAUGUAGGUGAAACUAACAUGAAAAAUAUUCAUCUAGCAAGUGGUCCUUUAGUAUCUUCAGAUUUGUUAGAGAAAGCAAUAGUCACUCUUCAUACUGGGAAGAUUUACUGCAUUACUGAUAUCCUUCAUGAUAAGACUGCUGAGAGCCCAUUUCCUGAUGCAACAAAAUAUGGCAGCUAUAGUGACUACUUUGAAAAAAAGUAUGGCAAGAAGCUCAAUUUCUUGAAACAGCCACUUCUGCAGGUUAAACAAACUCAUCGACCUCAUAAUCUUCUCACUCGAUAUGGUGAAAAAUUUAAAGGUAAAGAACUUGAUUUGAAAUUGAAACCUAAUUAUAUAGAGCUUCCGGCAGAAUUAUGCCUAAAUCUAGGUGUGCCAAGCUCUGUUAUUAGAUCACUAUACUUAAUUCCUUCUGUAAUGCAUCGCAUGAGUAAUUUGAUGUUGGCAAGUCAACUACGAGAAGAAAUCCAGAAGUUCUCAAAUUGCCCUUUUAUUUCUGCAACACUUAUUAUGCAAGCAUUAACAACUAUGAGGUGCAUGGAAAGCUUCUCAUUUGAGCGUUUGGAGCUACUGGGAGAUUCAGUUCUAAAAUAUGCUGUUAGCUGUCAUCUUUUCUUGAAAUAUGAUAAAAAGCAUGAAGGACAAUUAAGUGCACACAGAUCUUUGGCAGUUUGCAAUGCCACUCUUCAUGAUCUAGCUUUAAGACGCAAUUUGCCGGGAUAUAUUAGAGAUGAACCAUUCAGUCCUAGCCGGUGGGUGGCUCCUGGUACACACUGCAAAAGGAUUGUUUCCUGUUUCUGUGAUGGAAAAAUGAUUGAAGAAUCUGUAAAGGGUAUUGUUGACAUGGAGGACAAAGUUGUCAAAGUGGGAAAAACUUGUGACAAAGGCCAUAGGUGGAUGUGCUCAAAGACAAUUGCAGACUCUGUUGAGGCACUGAUUGGAUCAUAUUUAGUUGGAGGUGGUCUUUCUGCUGCUCUUGAGUUCAUGAGCUGGUUGAACAUACCUGUAGCAUAUGAAUCUGGGUUAGUCACUAUGGCAUUUGAGCAUUCAUCUGUCCAUCCCAGUAUUCUAAGUAGCAUAAAUAUACACAUGCUUGAAUCCCAAUUGGGAUAUGUUUUCCAUAACAAAGCUUUAUUAGUAGAGGCUAUAACCCAUGCUUCACAAGAAGAUUCUGAAGGAGGAUGCUGUUACCAGAGACUGGAAUUUCUUGGAGACUCUGUAUUAGAUUUUCUUAUCACAAGGCAUCUAUUUAGAGAACACCCUGAUCUUACACCAGGUGUUUUGACGGAUUUGCGUUCUGCAGCUGUCAAUAAUGAAAGUUUUGCAUAUGUAGCUGUCAAAUAUAAUUUACAUCAGUAUCUUCGCCAUGGUUCAGCCGUGCUUCUGGGGCAAAUCACCAGAUUUGUAAGGGCUGCGCAAAAUUGUAUGGGGGCAAAAGGUUGUCCCACUUCACCUUGUGGAGUGAAAGCUCCAAAGGUGCUAGGAGAUAUAGUAGAAAGCAUUGCAGGAGCAAUACUGGUGGAUAGCAGAUUUGAUGUGGAACAUGUAUGGAAAAUAAUGAAACCUUUGUUAUCUCCUAUAGUAACACCAGAGACACUGCAUUUGCAUCCUAUAAGAGAGGUUUCUGAACUGUGCCAUCUAGAGGGCUACCGCAUUGUCUGGAAAAAAAGUGCACAGGAGGGUGAACUAUAUCUUGCGAUUCUUGAAGUUGUUCUUGAGGAUAAUGCUCUUGUUGGAAAAGGAUGUAAUAUAAGUAAAAAGUCUGCAAAGGAAGAAGCAGCCCAACAGAUAUUAAUGCAACUUAAGAAACAUGGAAUUCACCAUCCUCGGUGUAGUAAUGUGGCUUCUGAUACUAACAUUAGAGGAACUAAACAAAGUGUGGAAGAAAUCAGUAGUCUCAAAGAUAUUGCUACAACCUGCAACAAAGAAUCAGAUGCGAGUGAAAGUAUAGAGUUGGCAAGGAAGAAAUCAAAAAUUAUUAUAAAUCCAGCUGUAGAAGAGGCUGGGUGGACAAGAGAGAAAAUUACUAAAAAAGCUGUUAGUCAAUCAAAGAUUGCUGAUGCAUGUAAAAGAAAAUCAGAAUCAAGUCAAAAUCAUGAAAUUCCAGAGAAGAAAGCAAGGACUAGUAUGGCUUCAGUGAAAUCUAAAACAUCUCAAGACCCUUUUCAUGAUAAAAAGGAGGAUAUAGUGUGCAAUGAUGCAGUUGAUUUCUAUGCAAGAGAAGUUGGCAGGAAAAAGGUAUAAAAGGGAGUUGAGUGGCUCAUUUGGUGUUAUGCGGAUUAUGUUAUGUCUCUAGAGAAACCCUUGGGAUUUUGAGAUUUUUUUUAACCUUUUUAAGGACGGAAACCUUCUCGAAGAAGACUGAAUAUGGUGGUGAGAGAUCCACCCUUGCUGAUGCAGUGGGACUAGUUUAGGAUCUUAGAUUGGGCAUAAGAAUUUGCAAAUACGAUUGAUUUGCAAGCAUGCGUUUGUAUCUAUGUUUUAAUGAAGUUCAGUUGUUUGAAGUUUUUACAGAGAUAUUCAGAAAAUCAGAGUAUUGGAUUGGAUGGAGAGUUUCCAGAUUUAUGGCCAAUUGAAUAACUUGCUCAGGGUCCCUGUAUUUCAUUGAGAUUAUAGUUUUGUAAUGAUUGGUGAUAGUUUGAAUGCUAAGGCAUGGCUUUAUGGAUGUUAACUGCGUAUUUCUGGUCAGUAAUUUCCUUGUAGUUCGAUGAGGGUGUUGGUAUGUUAAAAUUACUCUUGAAAAUCACUGCCUUAGUGGGGCCUUGAAUCCAUUACAGCAUAAAAGACAAAAAAAAUCCAUGAAAGCAUCACAAAGGUCGGAAAUGGCCUUGAAAAUUGAUUAAAAAUUGUUGCUUUCAGUAGACAAACCAAUGAAAGGGAAGGGAGGGAAUCGUGGCUUAGUUGGUAUCUGAAUUUCAAGGAAUACAUCGCCUCACUUCACUGAAUGAAGGCAGUUUUACACCCUUAGACUGACGUAGCAGCUUCUUUGGUUCUUUGUCGUGAUCUUUUCCUAUUGCUGAACAUGGAGCUGGGCAUAGUAAUUGGGCAUUAAAACUGAAGACCUUGCGGGCUUGAAAGGAUUGACGAAUAAGAUACCAGGCUAAUUCAGUCGAAAGGAAGUACUAGAUAAAGCAUUCAAUGGCCAAUAACCUUCUGCAGAGAGGUGUGGAUAUUAGCAGCUGAAGUACUGGCAUUUUGGGCUUUGCAUAAGGGCAACAUCCUUGGUAAUGAUAAAUACAGGUGUUGACAAUCAUUGCUAUUGAAAGAGAGACCAGUUUGCAGAUUGAGGUGAGAGUGGUGUAACUGUUUGAAAAGGCGUCUAUGAAUCAACUAUCCAUGACUACCAAUUUUGGCGAAUGAAUCCAUGUGAUGAGGUCUGAAUUCAAGGGAACCAACUUGUUUCUUCAACCUACAGCUGGUUUUAGCUAUACACCCUGCGAAACUAUCUAGCCUGUUGAAGGCAUCGUCCAGCCCAGAGAAAGAAAUAAUCUCUUAUUUGAAGAUGUGGAGGUUGCUAGUGAAGUGCUGAGGUGUAUCAAGAUUCAGUCUGUUGUACCUCUGUAUCAGUGUGUGUUAAACUGUGCAUGCAAAGGGGAGGUCCACGCAACAACUUGUACGAUGCUUGCAAAAAAUUGAAGUGGUGUGGACCUGAAUUUCACUUGUUAGAAGGUGCAGGCAGGCCUCACGCAACCAG